rnacentral:ncRNA from 2 species
CGCACACGCUAGGGGUCCUGCGUGUCGUGCAAGCGACAUGCGGGUGAGAAAUACCCUCCGAACCUGAUCUGGAUAAUGCCAGCGAAGGGAAGCAGUCGAGAACGGUG